ACUCGUGUGAGGCGCUGGUGCCGGGUGGCAGCCCGCGGGGGGAGGCGGCAGGGACGCGGUCCCACGGCAGCGUGUGCCUGCAGGGCAGCUUGAUCAAAGGUUUGUCUGUCCCUCUAAAGAAAUCCAUUACGUUUGGGAUAAGGAACAGCCAAAGCUCUGCUUCAGUAUUUGGGUGGGAGCACAUGCUACAGCUGUUAACAAAGCCAUUAUACUGCAAAUGGCAUUGUAUCCUUAGAUACUAAUCCAGCACAUCAUUCUGUGCUUGGGUGCGAUGUAAUAAUAAUGAUAAAGCGUGCUGAUAGUGCACAGUUUGAUUUAAGCCAGCUCGAUGUGUUCGGUUUACACCGUCUGACAAGAUGCAAAGAUAGUCACUGAGUUAGUCCUUGCAUGUUGUCUCGUCCAGUUCGUCCAUCAUCACUCCACACACCCAGCUCUGUCUUUUCGUCAAAAUGUCUGUUAUCAUUACCUGCUGAAUAGGACUCUGGAUGAGAGCACUGAAAAAGCUGUGUACACUGAGCAUGCCUGGCAUGUAAUAUUCUGGAUGUGAUUUGAAAAGCAAUAAAGGUCCAGUUUAACUAUA